rnacentral:rRNA from 1 species
UGGGGAAUUUUGGACAAUGGGCGCAAGCCUGAUCCAGCCAUGCCGCGUGCGGGAAGAAGGCCUUCGGGUUGUAAACCGCUUUUGUCAGGGAAGAAAUCUUCUGGGCUAAUACCUCGGGAGGAUGACGGUACCUGAAGAAUAAGCACCGGCUAACUACGUGCCAGCAGCCGCGGUAAUACGUAGGGUGCGAGCGUUAAUCGGAAUUACUGGGCGUAAAGCGUGCGCAGGCGGUCUUGCAAGACAGGUGUGAAAUCCCCGGGCUUAACCUGGGAACUGCACUUGUGACUGCAAGGCUGGAGUACGGCAGAGGGGGAUGGAAUUCCGCGUGUAGCAGUGAAAUGCGUAGAUAUGCGGAGGAACACCGAUGGCGAAGGCAAUCCCCUGG